UCGGUUUACCUCUUCCAAAGUAGGAAAUAUUGUCCAGACAUUCAUUUUGAGGCCCAAAUGGUCUUUUCAUGUAUUGGUCCAGAGUCAGGGAAUGAGUUGAAGACGAGAUGCAGAUAAAGCCUGUUGUAAAGAUCCCGAAACAAAAGAAGCAAAGAGCGGAAAUUUUGAAUUGAUUCUUAUCAAAGAAAGACAAUGGUGAAUGGAUGGGGCCAAGAGCUGAGAUAAAGAUCUCUCAGUUCAGACAUUCAUUUUUAUGCCCAAAUGGCCUUCAUGGUGAAUGGAUGGGACCAAGAGCUGAAAUGAAGAAAAACAUAAUGGACCGUCAUUUCUUAAUUUGCUUGAUCUUUUCCUUUAAUGAAAGUUGCUUCAUUCUGCUGCCUUUAUCUUCAAAUUAUUAAUUAAUUUUCUAGCACCCAUGUUAAAUAUCCAACCGGUAAUAUUGUCAGUUUGACUGAAAAUUCAUGGCAAGACCUCGUCAAGAGUAAAUAAUUGCUGCAUUCAUACGCGUACUUUUUUUUGUGGGGAUGAGAGUUUAUAAGCUAGUAAUUUCUAUUUUCCUAUCCUACAUGUAUAAAAAAGCGAAUGGUCACGUGUCACGAUUUCCCAUUGUCACUCGACCAUUAGCUCAAACAUCUAUUCAUCCCACUCUACAAUCUCAUACCUCUAAAAUCUGAUCAAAUCUUGACCCAAAAGCUCAUCUGCACCCACGGCCAUACCUUCAUCCAAUUCCGUUCAAAACUGCAAUACCCAUGACCAAACUCCAUCAUAGACUAUUUAUAAAAUCGAAGACGAGCAGUUAUAUGGUAACAUAUCAUCAAGAAACAUUUUAAAUUAGAAUCUCGUAUAUGUUUAUUAUACUUUCAUGUAACCAUUUGAUUUCAAUUUCUAUGAAUUUUGCUUUUCAAUUUUUUGUUCUCUUGAAUUAAUCAUCAUUUUUCCUAAAUUUUUAAUUGAUUAUUGUGUUUCAUUUUAGGUUUGCACAAAAGAGCGAAGCCAUGGUAUUAAUUUUGUUCAAAGAUAGCUACGAGAUCAUGGUGAAUUCUAGCUUGUGAAAUAAUUUUUUUAGGACUAUACUAUUGGAAUUUAUUUCAAAAAUUAUUCGGUUCUUAAACUUGUUGUAAAAUCUUAAGUUAAAAGCGUAUGAGGAAAGGCAAAAAAGGCGAAAAAUGCUUGUAAAUUUGAUAAAACUCUUUGGCUUGAUUAUUAUUAUGAAAAGGAAAUAAAAACACUUUGGCAGAAGGAAAACAAUCCGUGCACCACACGGAGACUGUCUCCGUGCUGCGUAGAGAGUGCUCUCUGCAUAGUGUGGAGAGCGCACUGUGCAUGGAGUCAUUUGGCUUGUCCAAAAUUUUUACCCUAAAUUUCUAUCUCGUCCCUCAAAUCUCUCUCAAUAGACAAGAGGCUAAAGAAAACUUCCUGCAAGUUGAUGAUUAUGGUCGAGAAAUAGAACAAGUGAGGAGCAGGGACUAUUCAGUGUAGUGUAGUUGGGAGAUUUUGAGAAUGUUUUGGAAAGGGAUCCAACUUUUAUUCAUCAGUCCACAGUGUAUGAUCGCCACUCUGCUUUGCACAUUGCUGCUGCUAAUGGUCAAACGGAGGUGGGCUUCUUGGUAUUUCUUGAAAUUUUGAUGUUUUCUCAUUUCUGGUUCUGCUUUGGGGAUUUCAGAUUCUUUCUAUGCUCUGGGACCGAUACGUCAAUCCCGAUUUAUUGAAUUGCCACAAGCAGUGCAUGGAAAGAUCUCAUGUGUGAAGAAACUCAUUGAAGCUGGGCGAAUUUUUUUUUUUCCUCCCAAUCCCAUAUCUUCUCUAAUAAGCCAUUUUCAAGUAAUCUGUAUUUAUUUAUAUGCAUUUACAUUUGUGUUGGUGUUCAUUAUUGACUGUGCUAAUCGUGAAUAUUGGGCCAGAUUUUAAUUUUCGAUUCACUAAAUGAAGGACAUGCUUACACUAUGCUGCUUAUUAUGGUCAUUCUGAUUGCCUUAAAGCUAUUCUUUAGACUGCUUGCACCUCCCAGGUGGCUGUUUCAUGGUAGGUUUCUCAGGGAUAGAUUAACUUUAUGCUGUUAAGAAUUAUGCCUUAGUCUCA